UUGAGCCACUGAUAUACAGGCUAACGCAGUUAUCAGUGCAGUCUAAUGCGGUUAUUAGAGAGAGGGAGAGAGAGAUUAAGUGCGUGUGAAUACCUGCGUCUAUGCGUCUCUCAGCAGCG